AUUGAACGCUGGCGGCAGGCCUAACACAUGCAAGUCGAACGAGUGGCGGACGGGAGAGCAAUGUCUGGGAAACUGCCUGAUGGAGGGGGUUAAUUACUGGAAACGGUAGCUAAUAACGCAUAGCCUCGGCUGUGCCCUGAGGGGAUUAGCUAGUAGGUGGGGCAUAGGCUAACCUCGGCGCCGAUCCCUAGCUGGUCUGAGAGGAUGACCAGCCACACUGGAACUGAGACACGGUCCAGACUCCUACGGGAGGCAGCAGUGGGGAAUAUUGCACAAUGGGCGCAAGCCUGAUGCAGCCAUGCCGCGUGUAUGAAGAAGGCCUUCGGGUUGUAAAGUACUUUCAGCGGGGAGGCGUUACCCGCAGAAGAAGCACCGGCUAACUCCGUGCCAGCAGCCGCGGUAAUUC
rnacentral:rRNA from 1 species